AGUGGGAUACCGUUUCCUUUGUCCAGCUCACAUUUCAAGAUGUCAGUGGAAAGACUGAUUCCUCCAAAUCC
rfam:Dipodomys ordii contig_56875, whole genome shotgun sequence.